ensembl:lncRNA
UUUUUUUUUUUUUUAAAGAGAAUAACUGCUACAAUAUAUUCUAAAAAGUUUAAGCUGUUUCUCUAGGAAACAAAACUAGAACCCUUACCAUCAUUCAUGCAGACUGCCUAACUUGAUUCUACACUGUUUCACCGUGAAAAGCCCUGAUAAUGUGAACUGAAAGCUUGCCAGCCACCUUAAGACACAGAUGUCCACAUAUUAUGGAAACUCAAUUUCAAUACUGUACAUACUCCACCCAAGCUAGGUACUGCAUUUAAUUCUGUGAAGAAUGAUGGUGAAAGGGAAAACUGAAAUCUGAAUAAACUCAGCACCUUCAGAGUAAGACAGUGCUGCACAUUGGUGUAACCAUGGGCAGGAAAACAAAGGCUACUGAAGAAAAGGAAAAAAAGGCAGGAAAGGACAGUAGCAGCAAUGGAAAAAUAAAAGAGUGUCAAAGUAACAAAAAGGUGGACUUCCAGAGAUUUCCUUUUAUCAUUUUGCUAACGUCUACAGGUUGCAUUUCUACACCAAACAUAAAUACCUUCUGAAAACUCACAAUUUCAGUAUGCACAGUGAAAUGAAACUGAACCUGACUAAGUUUUGGGUGCUAGUCAUGCCCAUGGAAGAAGAAAAAAGUAACUUUAAAAUUCUUAGAAGACAAUGUGAAUAUUUACCCAUGCCAGUUCCAGCUGGUGCAAUCUCUCUGGAGAAUAUUUCUACAGCUUCUUUUUGCUUAUGGUGUACAGCAAGCCAAAUAACAGCUUCCCGAGGACCCUGCUUCAAAAAAGUAGACAUUAUAUUAGCUUAGAUGCAGAACAUUGGUUAAAUUUACCAAACUGAAAAAUAACUGCAGCUCAGCACUCAAGUUAGAUUUAACUGAAAUAUGUAGUACUCACUGCUACGAGCUACAACUUUCAUUCACUAACUUUUCAUCCAGUAUCAGUAUAAUUUUCUGUUAACUUUUCAUUAUAAGUUUUUAAUUUGCUACCAUGAAAUCAGCUAUUGAAUACUUCAGACUGCUAGGACACUGUGCUGCUUCUCCAGUGUUCUCAAAGAAUCAAGUACUAGAACUAACAGUACUUUAUAAGAAACUAAAUACUUGGCUUCACUCAGCAGAACUGGCAAACAAACUCUCCUCUUACUUUAAGUGCACUGAGAAUACUUUAGGGUCAAGUCAAGAGCCAGGAUUACUUUUCUUAGCAUCAAGAAGUAAGCAGAUCUGCUCACAGAAAAGAAUUCAAACCUAAUCCUUGGGAGUUAAAUAGGAAAACAUAACUUGUAAAAGCCACCAUGUUUCCAGAGAAAAGAGCAGACCUCCUCUGAAGGGAAACCCAACCAGUACUCUGUUGCCUACUCUGCAGUCAACUAAGACACCCACCCUUGCACAUGAGCACUCUCUCACUUAAGAUUUUACUUCUCUACAAAUCUCCUUUCUGCUACUGUAGAUCUACUGUUGGAAUUAAUACACUGGCAAAAGCCUUAGAAUGAACUUUAGGUCUCACUGAGGGCAAAGACGGUAUUUAUUCAAGAAUCUGCAUCCAUCAGUAAGAACCACCUCUGGUCUGCCUUGAAUCUAAAAAUAUGAAGCCUGCUCACAAUACAAGUCUGUCCUUAAGUGUCUCUUACUUGUUCCAGAGCACAAACACAACCAUUUCCAUCAUACACAUGAAAUGGGACUGCACAAGGCAUCAAGAGCUGGUCAGGAGUUUCUCACACACUACUGUUCAAAGUAUGGAGUUCUGCAGCAGAGUACUUCUCCUCUCUGGUAGUCAGCUCUCAAAGUCAGCUUUUUUUUGUUAAGGAACACAAACUUUCUAAAGAUUCUGUGGUAAUGUUACAUGAAAUUCUUGGCUUACUUAAAUCAAUGUAAAAUACAAAGGAGUUUGACUACAAGAUACUACGGGAUUUCUUCCAGUGUUUAUAUCCUUUUACAUGUAAACAGGAAAGGAUGCAUUUCAUGAAAGCAUGAAAAAAAUACCAAAGUUUAUUUGGGUUUUGGGUUGUUUUUUGGUUUUUUUUCCUACGGUUCUACAGAACUCAGAGCACUUCAUACCUCUCUAAAUGCCCUGUCUAAAGAGUUCUUGUAGAUUUGGCAGCUGUUCUACUAAAAAUGUAGAAAAAUAAAGAAAAAUUGCACAUAUAGCUACUUAGGAUACUGAAAAGGGCAUUCUCCUGGAUGAAAGGAACAAUUGAAUUUUGGAAGAUCCAAGCCUUCUGAAUUUAUGCCUGAUGUUUGCUAUACCAGGAAGUGAAUAUACAUGACUAAAUAACCCAUUUUUAGUUUAUUCCAACUUUUUCCUUACAUAUAAUAAUUUUGAAAUAACAUUUUUCCUGCUAACGUAACAUUUUCAAUGGAUUUCAGCAAAAAAGCCUAUUUCUUUACAAAUGCAGAAACCAGUGACACUUCUGAAAGCAUCAGAGACUAAGUA